rnacentral:lncRNA from 1 species
AUGGCCGAGGCGCAGGAGCAGCGGCUGCAGCUGCAGAAGGACAACCGCGACGGCCGCCUGCGGAAGCAGGAGCUGGAGGAGCUGGUGCGCGGGCUGGAGGCCGAGAGCGAGAGCCUCGCCGGGCGUCUGCACGAACUGCGCGAGCGUGAGCGCAGGUGCGCGGGGAGCAGCGGAGCGGUAGGGCUUUCGGACGGCGACCGAAGACGGUGGGCCGAGUCGCCCGGCCCGCACGCCCGCGGACGAUCCACUCAGCGGGCCCGGGAAGGGAGGGCGGCGCCUGACACAUCCCGGACCGGGCAAGUUCUUCGGCUCCAACCCCGGCCGGCGCUGGUGCUUCCCGGGGGCGACAGCAGCAGCAGGAUCCAGAGCGCCCCGCACCCUCGCCGUAUCACCGGCCCAAGUUUCCCUCCACAGCCUGCAGCGGAGGCGAAGCCAGGCGGCACCGGCCCCACGAGGGGAGGCGCGCGAAGCGGCCCGGGAGCGCGCGGAGAGGACGCAGAGACUGCUGGAGGCUGCGGAACGCCGCAAAUUGGAGCUGGAGCAACGCAACAAGCAACUUCAGGAACAGUGGGAGGAGCUGUCAAGUCAGGUACUGCAAGCUUGGGACGGCCUCUCUCCGGGUUUCUCUCGGAGGCCCCCGCUCUGGUCCCUGUCCCCCAAGCCCCUCCUUAAGAACCCAGCAAGCCCCGCCCUCACAAGCCUCUCCCCCAGCUCUUUUACUACGGCGGGGACCAGCUGAGUCAGCAGCGCGCAGAGCAGCACGUGGGGACCCACCUGGUGGAGCUGCAGGUGCUUGGGCGGGGCCUGAGGGCUGGCCC